ACUCAAAGGAAUUGACGGGGGCCCGCACAAGCAGUGGAGCAUGUGGUUUAAUUCGAUGCUACGCGAAGAACCUUACCAGGGUUUGACAUCCCAGUGUAAUCCUUUAGAAAUAGAGGACCCCUUCGGGCACUGGUGACAGGUGGUGCAUGGUUGUCGUCAGCUCGUGCCGUGAGGUGUUGGAUUAAGUUCCGCAACGAGCGCAACCCUCGUUGCUAGUUGCCAUCAUUAAGUUGGGCACUCUAGCGAGACUGCCAGCGUCAAGCUGGAGGAAGGUGGGGAUGACGUCAAAUCAUCAUGCCCCUUACAUCCUGGGCUACACACGUGCUACAAUGGCCGGUACAACAGGUUGCUACCUCGCGAGAGGAUGCGAAUCCCCAAAGCCGGUCUCAGUUCGGAUUGCAGGCUGCAACUCGCCUGCAUGAAGCUGGAAUUGCUAGUAACCGUGGAUCAGCAUGCCGCGGUGAAUACGUACUCGGGCCUUGUACACACCGCCCGU
rnacentral:rRNA from 1 species